AUUGAACGCUGGCGGCAGGCUUAACACAUGCAAGUCGAACGAGUGGCGGACGGGUGAGUAAUGCUUGGGAAUCUAGCUUAUGGAGGGGGAUAACUACGGGAAACUGUAGCUAAUACCGCGUACCAUAGGAUGAGCCCAAGUGGGAUUAGGUAGUUGGUGAGGUAAAGGCUCACCAAGGCGACGAUCCCUAGCUGGUCUGAGAGGAUGACCGGCAACACGGGGACUGAGACACGGCCCAGACGCCUACGGGAGGCAGCAGGAGGGAAUAUUGGGCAAUGGGGGAAAGCUGACCCAGCAAUGCAGCGUGAGUGAAGAAGGCUUUCGGGUUGUAAAGUUCUGUCGGUAGGGAGGCGUUAAAUAAAGAAGAAGCACCGGCUAACUCCGUGCCAGCAGCCGCGGUAAUUC
rnacentral:rRNA from 1 species